rnacentral:rRNA from 1 species
GACGAACGCUGGCGGCGUGCUUAACACAUGCAAGUCGAACGGUGAAGCGCCUUCCUUUUUGGUUGGUGGGGAUGGUGUGCGAACGGGUGGGUAAAACGUGAGUAACCUUCCCCCUCCUUCUGGAUAACCGAAUGAAAGUUUGGCUAAUACGGGAUAUUCUGUGCCUGUCGCAUGAUGGGUCUGGGAAAGAUUUUGUGUCGGUGGGGGAUGGGCUCGCGUCCUAUCAGCUGGUUGGUGUGGUGAUGGCCUACCAAGGCGGUGAGGGGUAGCCGGCCUGAGAGGGUGGACGGUCACACUGGUACGACGACAGCCAGACGACUACGAGGGGACGCAGCGGUGGAGAUUAUAGCACAAUGGGAGAAAGCAUGAUGCAGCGACGCCGCGUGAGAGAUGGAGGCCGGCGGGUUGUGAACCUCUUUCGCCAGUGAAACAGGGCUGCCUAGUUUGUGGGUGGGUUGACGGUAGCUGGAGAAGAAGCGCCGGCUAACUACGUG